GCGAACACCACGUUGGGAGCGGGAGGCCGAGCUGCAAGGGCGAAGGAGAAAGAUGGGCUCGCGGAAGGAGAGACAGGGAAACAGCGGGUUUUUUGGAGGGUCGGGUGUGUCCAGAAUUGCUGGGUUCUUGGCCUCGCUGACUUGAAGAAUGAAGCCGCAGACCCUGGCGGUGAGUGUUAACAGUUCUUAAAGAUGGUGCGUCUGGAGUUUGUUCCUUUAGAUGUUCAGACGUGUCUGGAGUUUCUUCCUUCCGGUGGGUUUGUGGUCUUGCUGGCCUCAGGAACGAAGCUGCAGACCUUCAUGAUGAGUGUUACAGUUCAUAAAAACGGUGCGCGUCUGGAGUUGUUUG
rnacentral:lncRNA from 1 species